GGUCCUUCUUGCAUUGCUCAUUCAAUGGAUUGAACCCGAGCCAUCUUCGUUGUGCCAUCUAUCCACAUCUGAGUGUGUACGGUGGUCCUAACAACCU
rnacentral:sRNA from 1 species